rnacentral:tRNA from 2 species
GCUUAGUUAGUAUAAUAGAAAUACAAUUGUUUUGUAAUCAAUGAAUAUAAGUGCAAGUCUUAUACUAAGCU